rnacentral:rRNA from 1 species
AUGGGGUUCAAGAUAAAAUUCAAGAACCUACUGCGCGCCGCGGGAAGCAGCCGAUACGGCGGCGGCGCCGCCGAGGCUGCACCGACGACGCCACCACGGGUUCCGCUCGCACCACCGCCCGCAUCGCCCACCUCGCCGCCCCCGCUUCAGGCGCCACGACCCCCUCCGCGCCCCCCCGGCAAGGACACGGAUGAAGGACCGGACGAUGAGGAUUGGCAGGAGGUGGCAGAUGAUGAGGAUGAUGGACCGGACGAUGAGAAUUCUCAGGAGGUGGCAGACGAUGAGCGCAAAAACUGGAAGCAACUUCUGGAUGGCAAGCGAACAUACCUCCGACCACCAAGGGAGCACCAUGUUGUCAGUGAUGUUUUCAAGUGUCCGGAUACUCGUAAAGCUGCAUUAGGACGCCAGAAACGACUCUCGCGUUUGGUUGAGAAACAUUCAAAGAAUUUCUUCAAGGAAAAGAUCAAGAUUCUCUGUCAGCAUUAUGCGCACUUCAGAAGAACUCGUGGAGAUGGCAGCUGUUUCUACAGGGCAUUCUUAUUCUCCUACUUGGAAAACCUUGGAUUAAUGCAAGAUAGUCAAGCUGAAGUUACUCGUCUAAUGGAACAUGUGGCUAUGUCCAGAGAGAAUUUCUGUCGUCUGAAAUGGGAUAAAGCAUACUUCUUAAAUCCUGAAGAAUACUUUUCAAGUGUUUUUUCUGAGUUCAGUCAUUUGGUCAACUCAGUUGCGAAUGGUCUGAGUUCUGAUGAGCUGUACAAUAGAAGUAUACAGGAGAUCGUGCCACUCAGGAUUAUUUCUUUGCUAAGAUUGCUGGCAGAGACUGAGAUCCGAUCACAAGAAGACGAUUUCAAAUCACUUCUCCCAAAAGAAAUGGAUGCCCUUACGUAUUGCUGCAAGGAGCUGCGUCCUCUGGAUGUUGAAGCUGAGGUGCUACCAAUGAGGGCUCUAACAUAUGCGCUUGGCAUUCCGUUGCGUGUCGAAACUGUGGGCGAAGGUUCGAAUCGCGGAAUUCAAGUGGAGCGCCUUGAUUUAUUCCCCCGGUCGGAAUCGGGGAAGGGUCCUCUUCAUUUGGUACAAAGCUACUGGUCAUCCAUCACAACCCCUGAACCACAUGAGAUCGGAAGUGGCAACUUGUUAUCAUCUGACGGCACACCUUUGCUGACAUUGUUGUGUAGGCCUAGGCACUGUGACAUUCUUUAUCGCAGUGAACAAAACUAA